GUGACCGUGGCGGUGGAGGAGGAGGAUGAGGUAGCCAACACUGUUUUUAUAUAUAUAUAUAUUUUAAUUGGGGUAGCCCCCAAAAUAUUGGGACAUAUAAAAAAAACAACUCUGUUCCGCAGAGUAGCUGUUGACAUUAUAGUUGCGCAGGAACUUUGUUGACUCUAGAGAACUUCGGGCAAAUCGCACAUCCCCGUGGCGACGACUUUGCAUGCGGAUGUCAUCCAUAUCAACUUUCUAUGCCAGUUUCUGCGCCUGCCAUGGUGACCACGGGUAACGGGGAAUCAGGGUUCCAUUCCGUACAGGGACCCUGAGAAACAGCUACCACAUGCAAGGAAAGCA